GACGAACGCUGGCGGCGUGCUUAACACAUGCAAGUCGAACGGAAAGGCCCUGCUUUUGUGGGGUGCUCGAGUGGCGAACGGGUGAGUAACACGUGAGUAACCUGCCCUUUACUUUGGGAUAACUUCAGGAAACUGGGGCUAAUACCGGAUAGGAGCUCCUGCUGCAUGGUGGGGGUUGGAAAGUUUCGGCGGUUGGGGAUGGACUCGCGGCUUAUCAGCUUGUUGGUGGGGUAGUGGCUUACCAAGGCUUUGACGGGUAGCCGGCCUGAGAGGGUGACCGGACACAUUGGGACUGAGAUAAGGCCCAGACUCAUACGGGAGGCAGCAGUGGGGAAUAUUGCACAAUGGGCGGAAGCCUGAUGCAGCAACGCCGCGUGCGGGAUGACGGCCUUCGGGUUGUAAACCGCUUUCGCCUGUGACGAAGCGUGAGUGACGGUAAUGGGUAAAGAAGCACCGGCUAACUACGUG
rnacentral:rRNA from 1 species